rfam:Asian citrus Psyllid, Diaphorina citri - Florida Strain, whole genome shotgun sequence.
GCCUAGGUUAGCUUGGUUCGUAACGCGUCUGCCUUGUAAGCGCUAGGUCGCGGGCUCGAUUCCCGCCCGGGGCG